GUGAUUAGCUUCUCAUCUUGUGCUGUGGGGUGUUCUCCAUCGCUGGGCUGGGCUCCCCUCCACUGCAGACAAAUAAGGCCCAACAAAGCCCCAUGAUGGUGGGGAAGUGCCCUGCCUCACUGGGGGAGAGCAGGAGAAAAUGUCACCCAGGCUAUUUCCAGCUUUGUAACUAUGUUUUUCUAGGAGGAGGGAAGGCAGACUAGCCAGAGGAAUGUGGAGCAGCCAAAGGAGCCUGCUGGCCUGCUGCUUCCCCAGGGGAAAAGCAAAGCAAACAGGAGAUGAAAAGCCUGUGAUGCCAUCUCCAUCCUCAGAAGAGUGCCUUGCCUACCACACUACCACAUUUUUUGUGUGUGGGUGGGUGGGUGGAGAAAAGAACAAAGAUCACUCAAAGUCUUCUGCUCAAGUUAUUCCAUGUUGCGUAAAAAUAUGGUAAUGCUCAUCUGAGGACACGCUGGAGCCUAAACCCUCCCAGGUGAGUGCCGGAGACAUUAGGCAAUAGCACCUUCCUUUUCCUUCUUGGCCUAGCACUGGAUGCUGAGCAAAAUGGAAAGCUGGGAGAAAGCAUUGCCCUGCCCUAGGCUGUGGUUGGAGCUGAGCAAGAAUCCUCUGUGGAGAGCCGGACUGCAGCAGGAGCCUCCUGUGCCCCAGGCAGAGCACUCACCAGGCAUCCAGCAGCCUGCCAGCAGCUGGCACCAUUUUGAGUGCCCAGAGCACAACCAAGCGGCUGCUCCAUACAAUCCAUGAUGGGCACCCAGGGCACAAGGGUGAGUAAUGCCAAAGACCAAAACAAAGCUUUUAAGGUGAGGGAGCAGGAGCUUUAAUCUCUCUCUUAAUCAGAGGUUUUCAGAAAGUCCCACCUGGGGUUGGUCACAGUCUCCACCUUUUGCCAGGACACAUUCUUCCUCAGAAAUAUUUGCAAUUGCUUUGUACCAGCUGAAACAAAAGCAGGGUCACAUGGCAGCAACAUGAGGGAACACAGCAAAGGUAGUGCGUGGGAAAGAAAACCAAUCAAAAAGAAGUAUUUUCUAGUUGGAUGCAGGCAUUAAAGACUGGCUUGCUGCUUUGAGCACAAUUGUUUAGCCAGCUACAGGUGCUGUCCCAGACUGCAGGGACUCAGGGGCUGAAAGCAGACAAAUGUAACAGCUCUGAUGGGUUAAGAACAUAGGAGAAACAAGAUGCAUAGAGAGAGAAAUGUUUUUAUUAGUCCAGCUGAUAUAGCUAGAAAAAAAUAGACAAGUUUUCAGGCAACUCCUUUCAUUAGGUAAUUGCUGUGAGCGCAGUAACGACGCUGUGUUGAGGAGAGGCACCACUAAAUGAACACUCUCUGAUUACAAGAAGCAAAACCAGCUAUUUGCCAAGCGUCUGUGAACAGUGACAUGAAGCACAGCAUGGGGGAUCUAAAGAAUAUACAGAGCCAACCGGUUGUCUCUUGCACCAUUUUCUCUUCCCUGCUUUCACAAGCUUCGUACAGAAAACUCCUGUGCUGAUUAACUCAAAUACAGGAACACCCAGUACAGAACAAAACUCUUACAUAUGAUCUCCUCUCCCCCACCCAAUUAACUUUGAAACAGAUACAAAGCUGUAUUAAAAGAAAAAAAAAUCUUAUCUGAAAUGUUCACUCAGCCUUUUCUCACCAAAAUUAAAUUAGCUUACCCCAGCUGGAAUCAUCUCUUCAGCUAAGUGACAGCCUGCAAUCACAGCCUUAGAAAUAUCACAGCCUUUACAAAAGAAAGCAUCAGUUAUCUACACAAA